AACAGCUGGCACCUCCAACAGCCUGCAGGGUAGGGGUGAGAAGGAGGGGCAGUGUCACCAAAGACUGCAGGACCUGACAGAAGGGGCCUGAAAACUUUUCUAGCUGAGGGACUGCUCUUCCUCUAGUGUUUCCAUGGAAACCCAGGCUAAGAACUCCUCUGACGGAUUUGCAUCUUAACUAUCUGGGGACCAUGCAUCCAAAAUAGCGAACGCUGCAUCCUAUUUUUCUGCUGCCUGAAUUCUCCUUUGGGUGAGCUGCUGGUGAGAGACUGCAGUGGGUUGUGACUUGACCCUUUGCAUAACUGGAAGAGAGGUGAAAUCUGCUUUUCUAGAACAUGUUCACCUGAGUUCUGGCACUGCCUUGUGGAAGCAGUGUAGACAGAAGUGUACAGUGUACAGAAGUCAGAAGAACUCCGAACUAAUUGAGGGAAGAAGGGAUGAGGCCAGCCCACCCCAGCUCGUCGAGUCGAUUUCUUCCUGGUCCCUCCCCAGCCUUGUGCUAUAGAACUCUCUCCCAUCACAACAUCUGGUUAGUCUCCACCCAGAUAUUCUGAAUGUGCUCUGCUUCAUCUCCUGACGGAGGCUUAUAACUUAUUUCCUUGCUUGCUUAGUUUUAAAAAAUGUUUUAUUGUGGACUAUAUGAUCCUUGCAAAAUGGGGCCAAAAUUAUUUAGUUGACUGAAAUAAAAAUGCACAACGUAAAAGUUGUGAGUUGAGUUUUAUUGGAGGAACUUACUGGGAACUAUAGCCAGAGAGAGAGCCUCUGAGAGAGCUCUGAGGAACUGCUCCCAAGAGGUAAGGGAGGAGCCGGCAUAUAUAUGAGUCUUGUUGGGGGGAUACUAUAAGUAGGCAACUAUAUAACUCAGUGAAGAUUAAGUGCUAAUUGCAAAAAAAAAAAAAAAAAAAAAAAAAAAUCCCAGAGAUCUCAAGUUACUGAUUUUAGUCCUUUUCUAUGUAUGGGAAAAUAUAAGAAUCUGGGAUCGUUGAAAUUCUUCCUUAGAUAGACAUCUCUACUAACUAGGGGCCAUAUGCAGAAAGCUGCACCCAGUUUUUUCCACAUCCUGAAUUUCCCUCAGGGUGCACUGUAGGUGGGCAACUGCAGUAGCUAAUAGCUUGGUCCUUGUAACACUGGAAUGGCAGAAAACUUUUUUUUUCCUUUACAAAUUAAAAAUAAUAAAAUGAAAAAGCAAAUACCCCCACCCCUUGCCUUUAAGGUUUAAAAACAGAAUUAUCAAAAAAACCAAAAACACAGAACUAUCAGUAUCUUAGGAGUCCCUGAAAUUGCCAUCAACCUGGUGAUUGUGUAAAUCACUUUCACUAUAUGUGUAAAACUUUCUUUGUUUUAUAUAUAUAUGUAUAUAUAUAUACACACACACACACACAUAGUGUACACAUGUAUUCUCUAUAAUAUAAUAUUUUACAUAUAAUAUAAUAAAUAUAAUGUAUAAUGUAUAAAACUGUUAUGACAAUAUGUAUUAUAUAUGUUUAUAUAGUUUUGCCACUAUAUAAAAAUUCCUAGGCAAUGACUUGUUUUGCUUUGCCUGUCUUUGAAUUUUAUAGAAAUCAAACAGUAUUUUGUAUAUUCCUAUGUGACUUGCCUCCUUCUUUCACCAUUCUGCUCCUGAGAUUUAUCCCUGUCAUCUGUGUGGUUGCUGUUCAUGUAUUUUCCAUGCUGUGUAAUAAAUAGUUCAUGGCAUGAUUGCACCGAGGUUUAUCUAUCCAUUUUUCUG